GCUUGCUUUCUUUGCUGGCGACCGGCGCACGGGUGAGUAACACGUAUCCAACCUACCCUUUACUCGGGGAUAGCCUUUCGAAAGAAAGAUUAAUACCCGAUAGCAUAAUGAUUCCGCAUGGUUUCAUUAUUAAAGGAUUCCGGUAAAGGAUGGGGAUGCGUUCCAUUAGGUUGUUGGCGGGGUAACGGCCCACCAGGCCUUCGAUGGAUAGGGGUUCUGAGAGGAAGGUCCCCCACAUUGGAACUGAGACACGGUCCAAACUCCUACGGGAGGCAGCAUG
rnacentral:rRNA from 1 species